UACGUAGGGUGCGAGCGUUGUCCGGAAUUAUUGGGCGUAAAGAGCUCGUAGGCGGUGUGUCGCGUCGGUCGUGAAAACUUGGGGCUUAACCCUGGACCUGCAUUCGAUACGGGCAGACUAGAGUUCGGUAGGGGAGACUGGAAUUCCUGGUGUAGCGGUGAAAUGCGCAGAUAUCAGGAGGAACACCGGUGGCGAAGGCGGGUCUCUGGGCCGAUACUGACGCUGAGGAGCGAAAGCGUGGGGAGCAAACAGG
rnacentral:rRNA from 1 species